rfam:Tupaia chinensis contig173115, whole genome shotgun sequence.
CCAAAGGCUCUUUUAAGAGCCACUCACAUAGUCCUAAAAUGGCUUG